rnacentral:rRNA from 1 species
ACAGAGAGAGCUUGCUCCUUGGGUGACGAGCGGCGGACGGGUGAGUAAAGUCUGGGGAUCUGCCUGAUGGAGGGGGAUAACUACUGGAAACGGUAGCUAAUACCGCAUGACGUCUUCGGACCAAAGUGGGGGACCUUCGGGCCUCACGCCAUGAGAUGAACCCAGAUGGGAUUAGCUGGUAGGUGAGGUAACGGCUCACCUAGGCGACGAUCCCUAGCUGGUCUGAGAGGAUGACCAGCCACACUGGAACUGAGACACGGUCCAGACUCCUACGGGAGGCAGCAGUGGGGAAUAUUGCACAAUGGGGGAAACCCUGAUGCAGCCAUGCCGCGUGUGUGAAGAAGGCCUUCGGGUUGUAAAGCACUUUCAGCGGGGAGGAAGGCAAUAAACUUAAUAAGUUUGUUGAUUGACGUUACCCGCAGAAGAAGCACCGGCUAACUCCGUGCCAGCAGCCGCGGUAAUACGGAGGGUGCAAGCGUUAAUCGGAAUGACUGGGCGUAAAGCGCACGCAGGCGGUCUGUUAAGUUGGAUGUGAAAUCCCCGGGCUCAACCCGGGAACAGCAUUCAAAACUGACAGGCUAGAGUCUCGUAGAGGGGGGUAGAAUUCCAGGUGUAGCGGUGAAAUGCGUAGAGAUCUGGAGGAAUACCGGUGGCGAAGGCGGCCCCCUGGACGAAGACUGACGCUCAGGUGCGAAAGCGUGGGGAGCAAACAGGAUUAGAUACCCUGGUAGUCCACGCCGUAAACGAUGUCGACUUGGAGGCUGUGGUCUUGAACCGUGGCUUCCGGAGCUAACGCGUUAAGUCGACCGCCUGGGGAGUACGGCCGCAAGGUUAAAACUCAAAUGAAUUGACGGGGGCCCGCACAAGCGGUGGAGCAUGUGGUUUAAUUCGAUGCAACGCGAAGAACCUUACCUACUCUUGACAUCCAGAGAAGACUGUAGAGAUACGGUUGUGCCUUCGGGAGCUCUGAGACAGGUGCUGCAUGGCUGUCGUCAGCUCGUGUUGUGAAAUGUUGGGUUAAGUCCCGCAACGAGCGCAACCCUUAUCCUUUGUUGCCAGCGAUACGGUCGGGAACUCAAAGGAGACUGCCGGUGAUAAACCGGAGGAAGGUGGGGAUGACGUCAAGUCAUCAUGGCCCUUACGAGUAGGGCUACACACGUGCUACAAUGGCGCAUACAAAGAGAAGCGAGCCUGCGAGGGUGAGCGGACCUCAUAAAGUGCGUCGUAGUCCGGAUUGGAGUCUGCAACUCGACUCCAUGAAGUCGGAAUCGCUAGUAAUCGUAGAUCAGAAUGCUACGGUGAAUACGUUCCCGGGCCUUGUACACACCGCCCGUCACACCAUGGGAGUGGGUUGCAAAAGAAGUAGGUAGC